GCUUUGAUGGUGUAGUGGUAAAGUACGCGUCCCGGAUAGAAUGAAACGCGGGUUCGAUUCCCGCUUGAAGCU